rnacentral:rRNA from 1 species
GACGAACGCUGGCGGCGUGCUUAACACAUGCAAGUCGAACGAUGACGACCGAGCUUGCUCGGUCUGAUUAGUGGCGAACGGGUGAGUAACACGUGAGCAACCUGCCCUUCACUCUGGGAUAACCUCGGGAAAUCGGGGCUAAUACCGGAUAUGAGCUCCUGUCGCAUGGCGGGUGUUGGAAAGUUUUUCGGUGAAGGAUGGGCUCGCGGCCUAUCAGUUUGUUGGUGAGGUAGUGGCUCACCAAGGCGAUGACGGGUAGCCGGCCUGAGAGGGCGACCGGCCACACUGGGACUGAGACACGGCCCAGACUCCUACGGGAGGCAGCAGUGGGGAAUAUUGCACAAUGGGCGAAAGCCUGAUGCAGCGACGCCGCGUGAGGAAUGACGGCCUUCGGGUUGUAAACCUCUUUCAGCAGGGAAGAAGCGAAAGUGACGGUACCUGCAGAAGAAGCGCCGGCUAACUACGUG